GCCUCCAAGCCAUGGAGGAGGCGCGGCGCACAGCUCAGUAACGCGUGGUUAACCUGCCCUUGGGAUGGGAACACCCCCGGGAAACUGGGGCUAAUUUCCAAUAGGUGAAGACUCCUGGAAUGGAUCUUUGCCUAAAGGGCGCUUAGACCAUGCUUCUAGGCGUUGCCCAAGGAUGGGGCCGCGGCCGAUCAGGUUGUUGGUGAGGUAAUGGCUCACCAAGCCUUUAACCGGUACGGGCCGUGGGAGCGGGAGCCCGGAGAUGGGCACUGAGACAAGGGCCCAGGCCCUACGGGGCGCAGCAGUCGCGAAAACUCCGCAAUACGCGAAGGCGUGACGGGGUCAUCCCGAGUGCCGUCCGCUGAGGAUGGCUUUUCCCCAUUGUAGAUAGCUGGGGGAAUAAGGAGAGGGCAAGUCUGGUGUCAGCCGCCGCGGUAAUACCAGCUCUCCGAGUGGUGGGGAUGUUUAUUGGGCCUGACGCAUCCGUAGCCGGCUGGGCACGUCCCCAGUUAAAUCCAACGAUCUAAUCGUUGGACUGCUGAGGAUACUGUCCGGCUAGGGGGCGGGAGAGGUCGACGGUAUCCCGGGGUAGGGGUGAAAUCUAUAAUCCCGGAAGGACCACAGUGGCGAAGGCUGUCGGCUAGAACAUGCCCGACGGCGCAGGGAUGAAAGCUGGGGGAGCG
rnacentral:rRNA from 1 species